UACAGAGGAUGGCAAGCGUUAUCCGGAAUGAUUGGGCGUAAAGGCGUCUUAAGGUGGCUUUGUGAAGUCUACUGUUAAAGAUCAAGGCUUAACCUUGAGCAGGCAGUAGAAACUCAUAAGCUUGAGUACGGUAGGGGCAGAGGGAAUUCCCGGUGUAGCGGUGAAAUGCGUAGAUAUCGGGAAGAACACCAACGGCGAAAGCACUCUGCUGGGCCGAAAAACUGACACUGAUAGACGAAAGCUAGGGGAGCAAAUGGG
rnacentral:rRNA from 1 species